GCGUUGUCCGGAUUUAUUGGGCGUAAAGCGCGUGUAGGCGGCCAGGUAGGUCCGCUGUGAAAACCCGAGGCUCAACCUCGGGACGUCGGCGGAAACCAUCUGGCUAGAGUCCGGAAGAGGAGAGUGGAAUUCCUGGUGUAGCGGUGAAAUGCGCAGAUAUCAGGAAGAACACCCGUGGCGAAGGCGGCUCUCUGGGACGGUACUGACGCUGAGACGCGAAAGCGUGGGGAGCGAACAGG
rnacentral:rRNA from 1 species